AAAAAUAUUGAAAUUCAAUUUAUCUUAAAUAAGAAGCAAUUUGCAUUUAGUUUCGACCUAAAAGAUAGAGUUUAUUUUACUCCUUAUUUA
rnacentral:tRNA from 1 species